UACGUAGGGUGCGAGCGUUAAUCGGAAUUACUGGGCGUAAAGCGUGCGCAGGCGGUUUUGUAAGCCAGAUGUGAAAUCCCCGGGCUUAACCUGGGAAUGGCAUUUGGGACUGCAAGGCUUGAGUGCGGCAGAGGAGACUGGAAUUCCUGGUGUAGCAGUGAAAUGCGUAGAUAUCAGGAGGAACACCGAUGGCGAAGGCAGCUCGCUGGGACGUUACUGACACUGAGGCGCGAAAGCGUGGGGAGCGAACAGG
rnacentral:rRNA from 1 species